AAUAGAUGACGGCGUUGAAUUUUUCUCACAUGUUUGACCAUUCGUCUUAUUCAAAAAAUUUACGUAAUUAUAAUUUAGUUUGUUAUGAGUUGUUUUAUCACUCAUAUUACUUUAAGUGUGAUUUUUAUCUGAUACAUUUGCAUAAAAUUUUUGAAUAAGACGAAUGGUCAAACAUAUGAGAAAAAGUUAACGGCGUCAUCUAUU
rnacentral:pre_miRNA from 1 species